rnacentral:rRNA from 1 species
GACGAACGCUGGCGGCGUGCUUAACACAUGCAAGUCGAACGGAAAGGCCCUGCUUGCAGUGUGCUCGAGUGGCGAACGGGUGUGUAACACGUGUGUGCUCUGCCCCUUACUUUGGGAUAAGCCUGGGAAACUGGGUCUAAUACUGGAUAGGACCAUGCUGUAGGUGGUGUGGUGGAAAGAUUAGUUUCGGUAAGGGAUGUGCUCGCGGCCUAUCAGCUUGUUGGUGGGGUAGUGGCCUACCAAGGCGUCGGCGGGUAGCCGGCCUGAGAGGGUGGACGGCGACAUUGUGACUGAGAGACGGCCCAGACUCCUACGGGGGGCAGCAGUGGGGAGUAUAGCGCAAUGGGCGCAAGCCUGAUGCAGCGACGCCGCGUGGGGGAUGACGGCCUUCGGGUGGUAAACUCCGUUCAGCCAUGACGAGGCGCUUGUGGUGACGGUAGUGGUAGAAGAAGCACCGGCUAACUACGUG